rnacentral:rRNA from 1 species
UACAGAUGAUUCAAGCGUUAUCCGGAAUCAUUUGGCUUAAAGCGUCUGUAGGUGGCUUUUUAAGUCCGCCGUCAAAUCCCAGGGCUCAACUCUGGACAGGCGGUGGAAACUACCAAGCUGGAGUACGGUAGGGGCAGAGGGAAUUUCCGGUGGAGCGGUGAAAUGCGUAGAGAUCGGAAAGAACACCAACGGCGAAAGCAAUCUGCUGGGCCGACACUGACACUGAGAGACGAAAGCUAGGGGAGCGAAUGGG